UUUUUCCUACGGGAGGCAGCAGUGAGGAAUAUUGGUCAAUGGGAGAGAUCCUGAACCAGCCAAGCCGCGUGAGGGAAGACGGCCCUAUGGGUUGUAAACCUCUUUUGUCGGAGAACAAAACCCGGGACGUGUCCCGGACUGCGUGUAUCCGAAGAAAAAGCAUCGGCUAACUCCGUGCCAGCAGCCGCGGUAAUACGGAGGAUGCGAGCGUUAUCCGGAUUUAUUGGGUUUAAAGGGUGCGUAGGCGGACUGUUAAGUCAGCGGUAAAAGCCCGGGGCUCAACCCCGGCGAGCCGUUGAAACUGG
rnacentral:rRNA from 1 species